GGUGACACUCAAAAGAAGGAACUCUCCUUUUUCUACAGUGUCAUCUGCCAUUACGUUUUAGUUCCUAUUUCUUCUGUGGAAGCCCCUCCCCUUCUAGAGAAUGAAAUAUUUUGAUGAAUAUUAAGAGGUAAAAUAUAUUUCCCCAAAGGAGAAAUGAAGAAACAUGUUCUUAGAGACAGAAAGCAGCCCCUUCCUUAAUAGCUCCCAGCAGAUUUUGUGCCCAUUAAGACUAUUCACAAACAAAACACCUUCACCUCUGGGGGAGCUCUGUUGAAAUCUCCAUGACUACCAAAUGAAAUGACAGCCUAUUUUACGAUCCACUUUCAAAUGUCUAUAACCAUGUUAGUUCGCUUAUCUUACUUUUUUCCUCCACUUCAGUGGGGGGUUGCUACCCACCCGCCAUCAAAUACGAUACACAGUAGUAGCAGUGGUGGGAUGCUCUGCCCACCCGCCAUCAAAUACGAUCUGCGCAUGUGCAGAAGCGAACCGGUAGCAAAGGAUCAUCUUCAAGGUUGAAUCAGUAAAGCUCACUGGGUCAUUCUGUGGGGACACCAGGUUCAAAUUCACACAGACUUAGCAUUUGGUUUUCAAAGCAGCUCAUGAAUGAAGGCGUUUAAACUUUUCAAAAGAAAUCUACACUUACCUGGCAAGGUGGCCCCAGUUGGAUCCUCCUGAAAAGGUGGUCUUUAGAAUCAUUGGAUGGAUCUCCUCUUCCCUGGAGCUCUGCUGAGAUCUCCUCAAUGAAUGGCUCCUGCACCUGAAAAAAAGACUUUAACCAUGUUAGUUCACUUAAGUUUUUCCUCUCCACAUGUAUUUUUCCAAUUCAAAUCAAAAUGAGAGAAUUUGAGAACUCCUACUCUGUGGGUUGCUGUUAUUUCUGGAUAAACGCCUGCCACUUUUAAACAGCCUUAGUAGGGGGAGCCGCCUGUCGAGAGCCCCUCGACAACUCACCGCAUAGCAGCCUGACCUCGACCUCCUAGACAGCCACCUGGGGCUUGCUACAAGUCAGCGGCAAAGCGGCAAAUGACCAGGGUGGGCUGGGCAAUGUACACUUCACGCUGGGUGACGGGGGUGUUAGAUUAACGCAGGCGGCCGGUCACGCAGCGGACGGGUUAGGAGCUGCUAGACUCUGAUGUUUCUCGCCGACUUUCGGCGUCAUGGCCCUGUGUGCAUGCGCUGUGGCCGCGCAACCCGAAAGGGCGUACAUUUCAGUGGCGCGAGAAUUUAAAAGGCGUUGGGAGGCAGCCGCUCCCAACGCCGACUUUGUGCAUGUUGCACUCACAUCACCCACCGGCAUCGUUGUGCGCAGAACGAAUUAAAGGAAUCACACACGUAGAA